ensembl:lncRNA
CGCAGCUCGCUCACAGGACUUUGCUCUUAACCUCUUCGCUACAGAGUCGGAAAGACCCAACCUUUUAACUGUGAAGCAGAGCCAUUUGAACCGGAGCAGAGGUGCUACAAUGCCAGGACCCUUGUUCCGAGACCCGUCCUGCACCUCCCUUCCAACUACCUGGAUCACCUAUCUGCCUUCCCAUUAUUGACCUUCCCCUGCAUUGACUCCCCGCUCUGUUAACUGAACCCUGCCUGACCAUUCUUGCCUCCCGGAUUUCGUACCUCUGCUACCCACUUUUUUUUCAUAGUUACCUACAUUUUAGGAAAAGGAAAUGACCUCUUCAGGGUUUUCGCCGGGCCCUCUUAGACAGCUGGAGGGUAAAAGAAUACCUUCAAUAACACAAUCAAAUCAAAGUGGAC